GCACCGCCGCCGCCCGCCGCGGGAGGCUUCCGCGGAGACUCAGGGCUGCAGAGCCAGCGGAGGCUGAAGGAAGAGAAAGGUGUUAAGGAGAAGUAACCUGCCUAAGGAGGAGCACUUGAGAAGAAAUGACAUCAAAGAUGUACAAAGUUAUCAUCAGAAAAACAAUGAAGGCCAGGUGCGGUGGCUCAUGCCUAUAAUCCCAGCAAUCUCAUCUCUACAAAAAAUAAAAAAUCAAAAAUCAGCCAGGUAUGGUGGCAUGUACCUGUAGUUCCAGCUACUCAGGAGGCUGAGGUGGGAGGAUACUUUGAGCCUGGGAGGUUGAGGG
rnacentral:lncRNA from 1 species